rnacentral:rRNA from 1 species
CGGCAGGCCUAACACAUGCAAGUAGAACGGUAACAGAGAGAGCUUGCUCUCUGCUGACGAGUUGCGAACGGGUGCGUAACGCGUAUGCAACCUACCCAUAACUGGGGAAUAGCCCAUAGAAAUGUGGAUUAAUACCCCAUAAUAUUUACCUUUGGCAUCAAAAGUAGAUUAAAACUCCGGUGGUUAUGGAUGGGCAUGCGUGACAUUAGCUUGUUGGUGAGGUAAUAGCUCACCAAGGCUACGAUGUCUAGGGGUUCUGAGAGGACAAUCCCCCACACUGGUACUGAGACACGGACCAGACUCCUACGGGAGGCAGCAGUGAGGAAUAUUGCGCAAUGGAGGAAACUCUGACGCAGCCAUGCCGCGUGCAGGACGAAUGCCCUAUGGGUUGUAAACUGCUUUUGUAUAGGAAGAAAAUUAACUACGUGUAGUUAACUGACGGU